CACACCAGUUUUGAGCCGGGAAUUUUGGUUGCGUCUACAGCUAUCAGUCCCAAUAGAUAAAGACAGAGUUGAGCAGCUGACCUAUUCAACCAUUGCCUCAAUACCUCCACUUAAUCUUAGAGAUUGCACUGAAGUCAACGAUGUUAACAACAAUUCUUAUCCUGCUGAAGAAACUUCAGGCAGCAGAACAGUUUGACAGUGUCCAAGCAAUAGCCAAUGAACUUACAGAAUAAAUGGCUGUAACUGAAACUCAUUAAGUUCAAUAUUUUUGUACCGUAGUUUUACUUAUAUUGUUUAUAUAAAUAAUACCUGUACUCAGAUGUGUAUCCCUCAUAUAAUUACAUUUAAUUCAUUGAAUUUAUUAAAGUGGGAAUUGAUCAACUUCGAGGGUUUCAACAAACUAUAUCAUCUUGUUGAGAUGUUAUUUCAUUGAUAUACUGUAGUGUAUUUUUCAAUAGAACAUUAUAGAAUGAAAGUACAUCUUUUCGGAAUUUUUUUUUAUUUGUUCUCAAACAUGGUACAUGUACUGGGGUAAAAUAAUUUUUCAGAAUGUUAAUGUAGAAUUUUGAAUGUUUUUUUGUUUCUUUUUCUAUAAAACUUCCAAUACAGUUUUAUAGAUUUACAGUUAUAUUGCAUAUAAUAUUACCUGUACUUGAAUUUAUUCCAUUGUGGUUAAGUAAAUCCAUUCACAUUAAAAUGGUAUGAAAAUUGCAUCAAUUCCUGUUUUAAUUUUUUAGCAAUUGUGACCUUAUGCUUCAAAGGAUUAUUAGAAGUUUAAAAUUAUUAAAUGUGGUCUUAUAAGUACAUUUCAACCCGAUGUCUUCCAAAGUUCCAAACAUACAUAUCUGUGGAGCUCAUUACUUUAUCAAUCCUCAUACUCUCCUUCAACUAUACUUACUGAAGAUAUUUGAUAUUCAAAGUAUAUUUAAAUACAGAUGUGUACAUUAUAUUGUAAUGGAAUACUUUAUAUGCACCUGGAUGCAUAGAUAAGGGUCGUGCCGGUAUAUUGUCUUGUCCUAUUUGUCUGUUUAUCUGUUUGUCUGA